UUGAACGCUGGCGGCGUGGCUAAAGCAUGCAAGUCGUACGCACCCGCAAGGGUGAGUGGCGGACGGGUUAGUAAUACGAUCGAACGUGCCUCGAGGUGGGGGAUAGCGGCGGGAAACUGCCGGUAAUACCCCAUGAUCUCUCCGGAGCAAAGGGAAACCGCCUUGAGAUCGGCGAUCGUCCUAUCAGCUAGUUGGCGGGGUAACGGCCCACCAAGGCGAUGACGGGUAGCAGGUGUGAGAGCACGACCUGCAACAUCGGGACUGAGACACUGCCCGGACUCCUACGGGAGGCUGCAGCGACGAAUCUUCCGCAAUGGGCGCAAGCCUGACGGAGCGACGCCGCGUGUGGGAUGAAGCGCCUCUGGCGUGUAAACCACUGUCAGGGAACGGAACCAAUGAUUGUUCCCAGAGGAAGGGGCGACUAACUCUGUGCCAGCAGUCGCGGUAAGACAGAGGCCCCGAGCGUUAAUCGGAAUCACUGGGCUUAAAGGGUGCGUAGGCCGGUCCGAAAGUGCUUUGUGAAAUCCCAUGGCUCAACCAUGGAACCGCGGGGCAUACUACGGAUCUUGAGGAAGGUAGGGGCCGCCAGAACAGUAGGUGGAGCGGUGAAAUGCGUAGAUAUCUACUGGAAUGCCGAUGGUGAAGACGGGCGGCUGGGCCUUUCCUGACGCUGAGGCACGAAAGCGUGGGGAGCAAACAGGAUUAGAUACCCUGGUAGUCCACGCCGUAAACGAUGCACGCUAGAUCGGUGCCGCUCUCACGCGGGAUCGGUCGUAGUAAAAACGAUAAGCGUGCCGCCUGGGGAGUACGGUCGCAAGGCUAAAACUCAAAGGAAUUGACGGGGGCUCACACAAGCGGUGGAGCAUGUUGCUUAAUUCGAGGCAACGCGAAGAACCUUACCUGGGUUUGACAUGCUUGGAUUAACCCCAUGAAAGUGGGGCCACGCCCGCAAGGGUGGAACAAGCACAGGUGCUGCAUGGCUGUCGUCAGCUCGUGCUGUGAAGUGUCGGGUUUAAGUCCUCUAACGAGCGCAACCCCUGUCGUCAGUUGCUCACGCGUCAAGGCGAGUACUCUGGCGAGACUGCCGGCGUCAAGCCGGAGGAAGGCGGGGAUGACGUCAAGUCCUCAUGGCCCUUACGUCCAGGGUUGCAGACGUGCUACAAUGGCGCGCACAAAGCGACGCGAGGCCGCGAGGCGGAGCAAAUCGCAAAAAACGCGCCCCAGUUCGGAUUGCAGGCUGCAACUCGCCUGCAUGAAGUCGGAAUCGCUAGUAAUCGGAGAUCAGCUACGCUCCGGUGAAUACGUUCCUGAGCCUUGUACACAACCGCCCGUCAAGUCAUGGAGCCGGUAGUGCCCGAAGUCGCCACGAUACUGUGGUGCCUACGGCAAGAUCGGUGACUGGGACU
rnacentral:rRNA from 1 species